GACGAACGCUGGCGGCGUGCUUAACACAUGCAAGUCGAGCGGUAAGGCCCUUUCGGGGGUACGACGAGCGGCGAACGGGUGAGUAACACGUGGGUGACCUGCCCUCCAGCUCUGGGAUAAGCCUGGGAAACCGGGUCUAAUACUGGAUAUGACUCCAUGACGCAUGUUGUGGGGUGGAAAGCCUUGUGCGGCUGAGGAUGGGCCCGCGGCCUAUCAGCUUGUUGGUGGGGUGAGGCCUACCAAGGCGACGACGGGUAGCCGGCCUGAGAGGGC
rnacentral:rRNA from 1 species